UACGUAGGGGGCAAGCGUUGUCCGGAAUUACUGGGCGUAAAGCGCGUGUAGGCGGGACGACAAGUCCGGCGUGAAAGGCUCGGGCUCAACCCGAGACGGCCGUUGGAAACUGUCGUUCUUGAGGGUCGAAGAGGAGAGUGGAAUUCCUGGUGUAGCGGUGAAAUGCGUAGAGAUCAGGAGGAACACCCAUGGCGAAGGCAGCCCCCUGGGCUAACACUGACGCUCAUGCACGAAAGCGUGGGGAGCAAACAGG
rnacentral:rRNA from 1 species